GGUUAAGUUAGUAAGGGCGCACGGUGAAUGCCUUGGCACUAGGAGCCGAUGAAGGACGGGACUAACACCGAUAUGCUUCGGGGAGCUGUAAGUAAGCUUUGAUCCGGAGAUUUCCGAAUGGGGAAACCCACUGUUCGUAAUGGGACAGUAUCUUUACCUGAAUACAUAGGGUAUCGAAGGCAGACCCGGGGAACUGAAACAUCUAAGUACCCGGAGGAAGAGAAAGCAAAUGCGAUUUCCUGAGUAGCGGCGAGCGAAACGGAAUUAGCCCAAACCAAGAGGCUUGCCUCUUGGGGUUGUAGGACACUCUAUACGGAGUUACAAAGGAACGAAGUAGGUGAAGUGGUCUGGAAAGGCCAGCCGAAGAAGGUAACAGCCCUGUAGCUGAAACUUCGUUCCCUCUUGAGUGGAUCCUGAGUACGGCGGGACACGUGAAAUCCCGUCGGAAGCUGGGAGGACCAUCUCCCAAGGCUAAAUACUCCCUAGUGACCGAUAGUGAACCAGUACCGUGAGGGAAAGGUGAAAAGCACCCCGGAAGGGGAGUGAAAGAGAUCCUGAAACCGUGUGCCUACAAGUAGUUGGAGCCCAUUCAUGGGUGACAGCGUGCCUUUUGUAGAAUGAACCGGCGAGUUACGAUCCCGUGCAAGGUUAAGUCGAAGAGACGGAGCCGCAGCGAAAGCGAGUCUGAAUAGGGCGCAUGAGUACGUGGUCGUAGACCCGAAACCAGGUGAUCUACCCAUGUCCAGGUUGAAGUCCAGGUAACACUGGAUGGAGGACCGAACCCACGCACGUUGAAAAGUGCGGGGAUGAGGUGUGGGUAGCGGAGAAAUUCCAAUCGAACUUGGAGAUAGCUGGUUCUCCCCGAAAUAGCUUUAGGGCUAGCCUUAAGGUAAGAGUCUUGGAGGUAGAGCACUGAUUGGACUAGGGGCCCCCAUCGGGUUACCGAAUUCAGUCAAACUCCGAAUGCCAAAGACUUAUCCUUAGGAGUCAGACUACGAGUGAUAAGGUCCGUGGUCAAGAGGGAAACAGCCCAGAUCACCAGCUAAGGUCCCAAAGUGUACGUUAAGUGGCAAAGGAUGUGGAGUUGCUUAGACAACCAGGAUGUUGGCUUAGAAGCAGCCACCAUUUAAAGAGUGCGUAAUAGCUCACUGGUCGAGUGACUCUGCGCCGAAAAUGUAACGGGGCUAAACGUACCACCGAAGCUGUGGAUUGACACUUACGUGUCAGUGGUAGGGGAGCGUUCUAAGGGCUUUGAAGCUAGACCGAAAGGACUGGUGGAGCGCUUAGAAGUGAGAAUGCCGGUGUGAGUAGCGAAAAGACAGGUGAGAAUCCUGUCCAUCGAAAGCCUAAGGUUUCCUGAGGAAGGCUCGUCCGCUCAGGGUUAGUCGGGACCUAAGCCGAGGCCGAAAGGCGUAGGCGAUGGCCAACAGGUUGAUAUUCCUGUACCACCUCUUUACCGUUUGAGCAAUGGAGGGACGCAGGAGGAUAGGGUAAGCGCGCCGUUGGUUGUGCGCGUCCAAGCAGUUAG
rnacentral:ncRNA from 1 species